AUGCAAUUUGGAUAUUUUUUCGAAUUAGAGUACACAAAAUUGGCCAGCGUUUUGUUAUUUUUUCUUUCCGCCGUAUUCACGAUUUCAUUGUGUUCAAAAAAGAAAAAAAGGUCAAAGGAAACUCUAAGCAGAUCGCCGGCAACUAGCCCUGUACUAUCGCAAAAAUCGAAUUUGGAACGAAAUCUUUCAUUAUCACCAGCGAAAUCACCAUGUUCUCAGAGUCCACCUGACCACGAAAAAAACUCCUUCUCCUAAAUCGCCAAAAGAAAAGACCGAUGAGGAUAAAGUGCUUAGAUCAUCAAGAGAAAAGAUCGAAAGAGAACUUCAAGUUAUGUCAACCCAGCCUUCUCAUCCGUCCUCUUCAAAUGAUCUUGAUUCUUCAAUUGGAACUGCUAGAAUUGAAGUGGUUUCGGUUCCCGUCAAGCCGAGAAACAAAUUUUCAACCACGCCGGUUAAGCGUGUUGAAAUGAAGAAGAGCAAAGAGUCAGAUUCAGUCGAUAAAGCUCUGAAAGUGAAGUCUAGCCUGGAUUGCAUGAAAUUGGAAAAACCUGCACCGACUACUUGUGAAAUGAAGGCUGCAUGA